rnacentral:lncRNA from 1 species
UGGAGGGGGCCGGCAAUGUGAAUCUAAAAGGUGGGUGGCACCUCUCUAUUCUCAGUGUACGAAGAUGGUCUCUAAGAGCACAUUAUUUUUUAGUAUACCAAAGGUGGUCUCUUAGAGCACCUGUGCGUCUCCAGACUGUCAUAACUCAUUAAUUGUUGGCCAGAAUGCUUAAGAAGAUCAGGUCCAAGUGUGUGCAUCAAUAUUUAUUUCUCAUCUGCUUCUCAUAUCUUGAUUUGUCUCUGGAGAUCCCCUCGGAGCCCCGGAGAACUAUUUUUGUUGAGUUUGUAUGCGCCCGUCACAUUCCCAGGAUGUUCGUUAAUGUCAGCGUCAGCUUGUAGUUAUAAGUUGGCCAGAGAGUCGAGUGAUGUCAUCAGCGUAGCAUAUGGUGAAUUGUGGUGUAUUGGGUCGGGAAUAUCAUUCAUGUAGAGAAUCUAUAACGUUAGUGGGGCAGAGCCUUAAGGUACUCCAGCACUCUGGUCAAGAGUUAGUGUUUUUAAAGGAAUUUGAUUUGCAUUGUUGUUUUAGUUAUAGAUUGUUUUGUUAUGGUAGUUUAAAGUUAUUACGUAGUUGAAAUUUCUUUUUUCCCAAACUGUGAAAAGCUUUUAAUGGUUUUUUUUAUGAAUACUGUUUUUUCAUGAUUAAUGUGUUUUAGAUUCAGCUACUAGGAACAAAACGUUUCAAGUAACACGGGCUAUGGCGAGUCCAUUAGUGGACUUACCCGGCACAGGAGCGGGGCUGUGUUAUUCUGUGGAAUAAGGAAGGACAUAAUUGAAGUAUACGAAUGUUUAGUAGGGUGUUGCAGGUAAAUAUAUCAUGAUAUAGAACAUGAUACAAAGGAUGCAAAUUUAUAAGUUUGCUUGAGAAAAGACCUGGGUAAACGCCAGUUUUGGUAUAGGAUUGUCGGCCUAUGAAUACUAUGCCAGGUAAUGUAACAGACGUGGAUGGAGUGUUGGUUUAACCACAGGUUAGACCAAUAAGAGUACGUAGGGUUGGGUGUUUAUAGGGGGGCUACCUUUGUUCUAAUGUUCAAAAAAUGUUGUAUAUAAGUAUAUUAGAAGCCUAAGAAACGCUAUAAAUGUGCCCCGCGUAUUGAAACUUGCAGACAUGCGCUCUGUAGCAUAAUUGAGUUGAAUCCUCCCCCCCCCCCCCCCUUCCACCGUAAGGUAUUCCCAGGGUAUUGAAACUGCAACAGCAAGGUAAAUCUCAAACAUUACAAUGCGUGUUAAACUAAGCGUGAGAGACCCUGCAAUCAUUCCUCUCGCUGAGAAUUGCUGAUGCAGAUCGUAUUCGAAUUAACUGGCUUUGUUGUUCACUAUCAAUUUUGUUGAUAUCAAGAUCAAAUCGGUUAUCUUUAAUGAUUUGACUAUAUGAUUUGUUAGGUUGCAAAUUUCAAAACAUCUUCCUAUUUCUCUUAAUAUUUUCCAAGUUAGCAAGUGGCUAUUGUCUUUUGUCUCCCGAAGUGGGCAUUUUCAGUGACCUCAGUUAUCAUAGUUCAUAUUAAUAAGCUCCGAGUACCAAUUUGCAGUUAGUAUACACAGGUGUACCCCGUGUCUCGGUAUACAUACACUGAGAGUUUACUAGAGUAUUUUUACUGGUUAUUCAGUAAGCACUUGUAGAGGUCACUGUAACCCUCCAGAAGUUGAUAGGCUUUAACCCAACACCAAACCAAUCAUUUUGCUUCAUGUCAUUUGACUUUUCCAAAUUUAUGAAUGUGUCGUCCAGACACUAUAUACUUUAUUGCAUACGUUAUUACAGUAUACAUUGUAAGAAAUUUAUUCAGCAUUCCUCCAUUCACAUAUUCAUUAACCGCGGUAUUUAAAACCAGUGUGCGAAGGUGGGAGGUUGAGUGAGGGUUUGUGCUGUGUGGGGGAACCAGCAGGUGGGUGAAUUGGCCUCUGAAUGUUAGUGUGGGUGUAUGUACAGGUGACUAGCUGGGGGACAAGCAUGUGGAGUCUCUUAAUGCAUUACAAUAAUGUAAUACGGUAGCGCCUCCAAAAUGUGGAUCAUAGCGUUCCAAACCCAACACGCAUUUCCAGAAAUUUAUUCUUUUUUUCCCAUUUAUCAUUUGUAUUUCUUAUAGACGGUGAUACAAUAUAUUUAUACAGUAUAUUGUCUAAAUAUGCAUAAUUCAUGGUAAUUUGAAUGUCAAAUGCUGACUUGUAUAUUGAUUGAUUUUUUUUAUUCUUGACGACGGCUGUCAAGCUGAACAUCGAACGACUAGUCGCCGCUGCUUCCUUGUUUUGAGUGACUCCAUGGUCGAGGCGGUGGAGGGUUGGGUCAGUGUAGCUCUGGCUUAGGACCAGUGACGAUGUGAGCAGCUGGUGAUCGCGUCGAUACUUCUCGACGAUUGAAGGUUGUGGGGGUAAAGACAAUUUAAACAGGAACCACACUUGGGAGGAAGUGGGAUUCUAAAAAGGAAGAUUAGAUCUUUUUCUUCUUGAUAGUAGGUGCAGUUUGCGGAAGACUACAUCAGUUACUAUUUAUCUGUACUAAUAGUGGUGUAGCAACUAGGAUAUAUGUGAAGUUUUUGGUUUAGUACAGUAGAGCACUAAUAAAACAUUUCAACAA